rnacentral:rRNA from 1 species
UACGUAGGGUGCAAGCGUUGUCCGGAAUCAUUGGGCGUAAAGCGCGCGUAGGCGGCCCGAUAAGUCCGCUGUAAAAGUCAACGGCUCAACUGUUGAAAGCCGGUGGAUACUGUCGGGCUAGAGUACGGAAGAGGCAAGUGGAAUUCCUGGUGUAGCGGUGGAAUGCGCAGAUAUCAGGAGGAACACCCAUAGCGAAGGCAGCUUGCUGGGACGUUACUGACGCUAAGGCGCGAAAGCGUGGGGAGCGAACAGG